GAAGUAAAAAACUACAGGAGAAACCUUCAAAUCAACAAAAAUGGUGGAAUAAGGUUAUACAUUAUUUAUUAUGGUUAUUGAUGUUCUCAACCGAUAUAUAGUGAAAGGGAAUUUGACAAUUAUAGAAGAAAUCUUCAAAUCCAUGAAGGUGGUGGAUUGAGGUCUGUUAGUCUCCAAACCCAAAGUCCCUCACUAUUAUCUUCAUUGCAAGAAACAUCUGAAGUAUCCAUCCCAGGGUCAUGGAAACAUGAAGAAGGAGCCCUGAACAACAUGAGCUGAUCUACAACUUGUGUCAUUUGUAGAAUGAAGAACUUGAAGCAGAUAGUCUCUGAUUUUUUCCAUCAAACAUGACAUGUUUCUCUUACCUUGUAGACCUAAAUACUACCCAAAAAAACUUUUGUUCCUUCCUUCCUUCUUUCCUUCCUUCCUUUAUUUUCUUUCUAUCUCUAUAUCUCUCUAUCUAUCUAUCUAUCUAUCUAUCUAUCUAUCUAUCA